AGGACGAACGCUGGCGGCGUGCCUAACACAUGCAAGUCGAACGAGGUUAAUCCGGUAGCAAUACUGGUGACUGCCUAGUGGCGAACGGGUGAGUAGCACGUGAGCAACCUGCCCCGAAGACCGGGACAACACCGGGAAACCGGUGCUAAUACCGGAUACCCCCACCUAAUCGCAUGAUCUGGUGAGGAAAUGGAUUCCGCUUCGGGAGGGGCUCGCGGCCUAUCAGCUAGUUGGUGAGGUAACGGCUCACCAAGGCUUCGACGGGUAGCUGGUCUGAGAGGACGAUCAGCCACACUGGGACUGAGACACGGCCCAGACUCCUACGGGAGGCAGCAGUGGGGAAUCUUGCACAAUGGGCGAAAGCCUGAUGCAGCAACGCCGCGUGAGGGACGAAGGCUUUCUGAGUUGUAAACCUCUUUCAGCAGGGACGAUUGUGACGGUACCUGCAGAAGAACGCCCCGGCAACUACGUGCCAGCAGCCGCGGUAA
rnacentral:rRNA from 1 species